rnacentral:lncRNA from 1 species
UAGCAGCAUGAUUUAUAGUCCUUUGGGUAUAUACCCCAAAAACUAAGUCUGCUGAAGAACUAUGUGAGAGAGGAAGUUGAGAAAAGUGAGUGUUACUCCACUGUAUGUUAUCUUUAUUGUUUAGGUUGAGUAAUUUCUAUUGUUGUCUCUUCAAAUUCACCAAUUCCUUCUUUUGUUCUCUUCAUUCUGCUGUUUAGCUCUUCCAUUGAGUUUUUAAUUUUGGUUAUUGUGUUUUUCAAUUCUAAAAGUUCUAGUUGGUUCUUCUUUAUAUCUCACUUUUUUUUUUCUGAGACUUCCUAUUCUUUUUUUAAUAAUAUUUGAUUGGUCAUUGAAGAAUUUUUAUGAUGGCUGCUCUAAAAUCUUUGUCAGAUAUUUCCAAAAUCUAUGCCAUCUUACUGGUGCUGUAUUUUAUUGUUGUUUCUUACUGAAGUUGUGAUUUUUCUAAUUUUUGGUGUAAUGAAUAUUUUUUAUUGUAUCUGGGGGAUAUUUUGGGCAUUUUGUUAUGAGAUUCUGGAUCCUCUGUUUAAGCAGGAUGUUUCUGACAUCACUCCGGUUAAAGAAGAAUGCCAUUGCUUCAUUAAUGCUCAACGGGAGUAAAAAUCCAGUUUCCCCAGUUACUCUCCAUUGAUACUCUGUAGAGGAGUAUGUAACUCAUUGCUAGUUUUUAUAUGGCCUCCACUACUAAGGAGGCCUCAUUACUUUCAGGCAGGGACAGAAGAACUGUCUCUCCACUAGCCUUCUCUGACACCUCUUUUGCAAGCAGAAAGUGUGUCUCAUUACAACUGGGGGAGGUUGGAAGACUAGGCUCUCCAUUUGUCCUUUGCUAGCAGAGAUGCAGAGAUGAGUUUGAGGGCUGCAGUAUUUUCCAUGGUGUUGCCUAGAGUAGAGCAUUUAUUAUUUAUUGCUAGACUGCCUCUUUCCUUGUGCAUUGACUUAAAAGACCAGGAUUUCUUGGGACUUCUUAUUUGUUUUUCUCUUCCUUUUUUUUUUUUUUUUUUUUGAGACGCAGUCUUGCUCUGUUGCCCAGGCUGGAGUGCAAUGGCACAAUCCUGAAACCUCCGCCUCCCAGGUUAAAGUGAUUCUCCUGCCUCAGCUUCCUGAGUAGCUGGGAUUACAGGUGUCUGCCACCAUGUCUAGCUAGUUUUUGCAUUUUUAGUAGAGACAGGGUUUCACCAUGCUGACCAGGCUGGUCUCAAACUCCCACCUCAGGUAAUCUGCCCACCUUGGCCUCCCAAAGUGCUGGGAUUAUGGGCAUGAGCCACUGUGCCCAACCCUCGCUGGUGUUUCUGACUUGCCAGUCUCUUGAAUACCCAGUUCAGGGUAUAUAUAUGGUCAAAAAACAAACAAACAGACAAACAAACAAACAAAACCCUGUAAAACCACCAUGUCAUUUCUUGGGUCUGAGUUCUUUAGCUAGUAUUCUGCCUUCUCUCUAACUUUCAGAGUCUUAUUAUACUUGUUUUAUAUAUAAUGUCCAAGAUUUUUAGUUUUUCUUAGCUAAAGGAGAAACAGGGAAGAAUGCGUUAAAUGUAUUUUGCCUAGAACUGGGAGUCCCCAAUGUCUAUAACCCGUAAGUUAAGAAUAGUUUUUUACAUUUUAAAAUAUUAGUAAAAAUGGAAAUAACAAUAGCAUUUUAUGACAUAAAAAUUAUAUAAAAUUCAAAUUUCAGUAUUCAUAAUUGAAUGUGUACUAGAAACUGACAAUCAAAAAAGAAAAUUUUGGGGGUGUUGAAUGCAGUACUCAGAAAUAUCUUAUCUGAAGAGUAGGGAAAAACCAAACUUAAACCAAAAGGUAUUCUGGUUCUUCCUUUAAAAAAAAGAUUGGGAAAGAACAAAAUAUUUCUGAGUAACAACCCCAUUGCAUAAAAAAGUUCAAGUAUAUUUAUAGAAAUACAAAAUUAGCAAGCACUCCACAAGAUAAAAUUCAACAUGACAUAAAUGGGUGACAGAUAUAAAAAAUGAUAUGGGUGACAGAUAUAAACAAGUUUCAAAAAAAUUUAUAAAGAUGAAACAACAACAAUGUCUUUGAUCAAAUAUACAUUGGAUAGAAUUAAAGGCAGAUUAGACUUUGCAGAAGAAAAAAUAUGAUCUGGAAAAAUACAGCAAUAGAAAUAAUCCAGAAUAAAGCACAAAAAAGAAUUAAAAAUGCAAAACAUUUAAACCAUUAUGUUAAUGGGAAUAAAUGAUACCAAAUGUAUACAAAAUUUUCCAGAAAAUUUAGGAAGAGAUUAGUUUAUACUUAGUAUAUAAGUCUGACCAUAUUCUGAUACCAAGAUUAAAGAUGUGAACAGAAAACUUCAGACCUGUGUAUCUAAAACAGUGAUACAGAAUUUCCUAAAAAUACUUUAGCAAAUUAAAUUCACACACACACACACACACACACACACACACACACACACACGAUUAAUACACCAUGGGGCUUAAUUUAUAAAUACAAUACUGGAUCAACAUUCAAAAAUCAAUGUAAGCCUCCAUAUUAACAGAAUAAAUUUUUUAAAAGAUUACUUCAAUAGGUGCAGAAAAACAUCUGGCAAAAUCCAACAUUAAUUCCAAGAAAAACUCUCAGCAAACUAAGAAUAUGGGAAGCUUCCUCAACAUGAUAAAGCAUAUCAACAAAAAUCCUACAGAGUGAAACAUAAAACUACCAUAUGACCCAGGUAUUUCACUCCUACAUGUUUACCGAGAUAAAUGAAAGCAUGCAUCCAUAGGUAAAUAUGGAAUACAACGCAGCAAUAAAAAUGAAUCAACUAUUUGUACACAAAGCAAAACUCACGAAAAGAGCCAGACAAAAGGGUAUGUAUGGCUUGGGUCCAUUGAUUUUAGAAAGUGUAAACUCAUCUACAGCGACAGAAAGUAGAUCAGUCAUGUUCUGUGUACAUCAGGAAUAGAGGAUGGAGAUAAUGGAGAGAAAUUACCAGUGGGAAUGGAGAAACUUCUUUCGAGAGUGAUGUUCAUUGAUUUGAUUGUGUUGAUGAUUACAUGAGAUGUAUUUACGUCAAAACAUAUCAGAUUGUACACUUUAAAUAUAUGCAAUCAUUUUUUCAGUUAUACCUCAAUAAAAUUCUUUCAAGGCAAAUAAAACAUCAAUUGGAAAUGAGAAUUCAGAACGUAAUUGAUAGAACAAAAAUAAUGCAUUUCUCUCAAAAAUUGAGGGAUUUCAUUUACAUGCAGAGGAGGAUAUGUUAGCGCUGUGCAGGGAUGCUAGCCCAAAUAACAGAAACAGAAGUAAAAAAAUACAUCUGGCAACCCUUCUGUAAUAACCUCACUCAGGUAGAAACAGGCUUCUCAGUUAAAUCUAGUAGAGCACAAAUCUCCAUUUAUGAAUAUUUAAUACUAGUAACCCACACUAUUAACUUAUUUUAGCAUGUUAGUAGUAGAUAGGCUUUUUGAGUAAGUGAAGAGUAAAAAGCUAUGGCAUUUUGUGUUAUUAAGCUUCAAAAAAAUAAAGUUCUGUUAAACAAAAGUUUGCAGGACAUUAGGAGGCUGCAACCUG